ensembl:snoRNA
AUGUCUCAAUAAUGGCAGCACUGGGCUGUGCUCCUGUGAAGACAGUUAGUGCCCCCUGGGCCUUUGACUCCAGGGGCCCAAAGAGUCUU